rnacentral:rRNA from 1 species
CUGGUCUUGACAUCCUGGGAACCCUGAAGAGAUUUGGGGGUGCCGCAAGGAGCCCAGAGACAGGUGCUGCAUGGCUGUCGUCAGCUCGUGUCGUGAGAUGUUGGGUUAAGUCCCGCAACGAGCGCAACCCUUGUCCUUAGUUGCCAUCAUUUAGUUGGGCACUCUAAGGAGACCGCCGGUGACAAACCGGAGGAAGGUGGGGAUGACGUCAAGUCAUCAUGGCCUUUAUGACCGGGGCUACACACGUGCUACAAUGGUAGGUACAGAGGGAAGCCAACACGCGAGUGGGAGCCAAUCCCAGAAAACCUAUCGUAGUCCGGAUUGGAGUCUGCAACUCGACUCCAUGAAGUCGGAAUCGCUAGUAGUUGCAGAUCAGCAUUGCUGCGGUGAAUACGUUCCC